rnacentral:rRNA from 1 species
UACGUAGGGACCGAGCGUUGUCCGGAAUCAUUGGGCGUAAAGAGCGUGUAGGCGGCCACUUAAGUCCUGCGUGAAAUCCUGCGGCUCAACCGCAGGCGGUCGUGGGAAACUGGGUGGCUAGAGUGCGGGAGAGGAGAGUGGAAUUCCUGGUGUAGCGGUGGAAUGCGCAGAUAUCGGGAAGAACACCCGUGGCGAAGGCGGCCUGCUGGGCUGUUGCUGACGCUGAGCGCGACAGCGUGGGGAGCAAACAGGAUUAGAGUACCCGGU